rfam:Rattus norvegicus chromosome X, whole genome shotgun sequence.
GGGGAUUUAGCUCAGUGGUAGAGCGCUUGCCUAGCAAGCUCAAGAGGCCCUGGGUUCGGUCCCCAGCUCUG